rnacentral:rRNA from 1 species
AUUGAACGCUGGCGGCAGGCUUAACACAUGCAAGUCGAGCGGAGCGAGGGUGCUUGCACCUUAGCUUAGCGGCGGACGGGUGAGUAAUGCUUAGGAAUCUGCCUAUUAGUGGGGGGCAACAUUCCGAAAGGAAUGCUAAUACCGCAUACGCCCUACGGGGGAAAGCAGGGGAUCUUCGGACCUUGCGCUAAUAGAUGAGCCUAAGUCGGAUUAGCUAGUUGGUGGGGUAAAGGCCUACCAAGGCGACGAUCUGUAGCGGGUCUGAGAGGAUGAUCCGCCACACUGGGACUGAGACACGGCCCAGACUCCUACGGGAGGCAGCGGUGGGGAAUAUUGGACAAUGGGCGGAAGCCUGAUCCAGCCAUGCCGCGUGUGUGAAGAAGGCCUUUUGGUUGUAAAGCACUUUAAGCGAGGAGGAGGCUCUUAAGGUUAAUACCCUUGAUGAGUGGACGUUACUCGCAGAAUAAGCACCGGCUAACUCUGUGCCAGCCGCCGCGGUAACAC